rnacentral:tRNA from 1 species
AAUAGGGUGGCCGAGAUAAGCAAUAGAUUGUAAAUCUAUUUACGAAUUAGUUAAUUCUCCUAUUA